ACUGUGUUGGACUAUGUUUGUCUCGACAUUGCUGCUGCACAGUUACCAUUUGCUAGCCUCAAUAUCCUGUUGCUGUGGGGGAGUACGCACUGAAGGAGACAAAAUGUCCCUGAAGAAACCACCAUAUCUGCCUGAAGCUAGCAGUGCCUCCAAGCUGUGCUUGCCCACGAGCAAGGUGAAGAAACCACUGUGAACACCUGGGCAUGCGCCCAUGGAGGAACACGGGGCAGCACAUAUGAUAAUGAGCUCCGUGGAAAUGGGUGGACUCUUUGGAGAAAUCACGGGGACCGGGACAAUAAAAGAACUGCGUACUCCUCUCACAAAAGGGGACUGAAAAUGAAUGAAAAGGGAACUGAAAGGACUGAAAAGGGACUGCAGCGCUUGGAACUGGGACUUUGGCAUCACCUGUCUGCUGGAACCUGGAACUUGGACCAUCCAUCACCUGCACCGAGACUGAGUCAACGGGACGUUGCUGGCUUCAUGGUGGUGCAGCACGUCCUGAAAAAAGCUUGCUUGGGCUCUACCAGCAGAGGCAAUGGGGUUGUGCUGUAGCUCCCUCUCUGCACCUAGUCCUUUGAGGAUCAGCCUGCAAAGAAAGGAGAAAUCACAGAGGUGUCUGAGCCGGAAUACCUCUAUGUGAAGUGAGCAGCCAGAGCAGAAGCCCUAAGAGGUUUAUUUCAGCCUGACAAGCUUUGAUGUCCUAACACUGCAGAAAUUUUGAAGAACUUUGAAAAAUAAUCAAGCUACAAGGUACAUGAAGCAUCACAAUAACUGACAAAAGGAAAGAAGGUGCUGCAAAUUUAAAAUACUGAAGUGCAUGAGAUGACCUAAAAAUGCCAGCAAAGUCUUCCAUGACAGUUUUUCAAGAAGUGAUAAUUUUAUACACAAUCCGCAUUCUACAAAUAUUCACAAAGUACUGAGAAGUAGUGCAGCCAGCAUGACAUUGCCAACAACCUUCUUCAGAAAGCAAGCCGUGGCAAUUGGGAUCCAUAUUUAGCUUUACUGAACUUGCUUUUAUCACAAGAAUAGACUCGUCAGCUCAUUUGGAAGAAGAG